rnacentral:lncRNA from 1 species
CUUUUGUGUCUAGCUCAGGGAUUGUAAACGCACCAGUCAGCACCCUGUCAAAACAGACCAAUUGGCUCUGUAAAAUGGACCAAUCAGCAGGAUGUGGGUGGGCCAGAUAAGCGAAUAAAAGCAGGCUGCCCGAGCCAGCAGUGGCAACCCGCUGGGGUCCCCUUCCACACUGUGGAAGCUUUGUUCUUCUGCUGUUUGCCAUAAAUCUUGCUGCUGCUCACUCUUUGGGUCCACACUGCCUUUAUGAGCUGCAACACUCACCAGGAAGGUCUGCAGCUUCACUCCUGAAGCCAGCGAGACCACGAACCCACCGGGAGGAACGAACACCUCCAGAUGCACCGCCUUAAGAGCUGUAACACUCACCGCGAAGGCCUGCAGCUUCACUCCUGAGCCAGCGAGACCAUGAACCUACCAGAAGGAAGAAACUCCGAACACAUCCAAACAUCAGAAGGAGCAAACUCCGAACACGCCACCUUUAAGAACUGUAACACUCACCGCGAGGGUCUGCGGCUUCGUUCUUGAAGUCAGUGAGAUCAAGAACCCACCAAUUCUGGACACAAUCUGACUGUCUUUCCCCAAAACAGUGUCCUCUAUCAGCAGGAAACAGGAAUAGGGAGGCCUGAGGAGAAGGAGAGAAAAGGAAGAAAGUCUGGUAGAUGGAGCAGCUGGAACACACACAACAUUUGUGA